rnacentral:rRNA from 1 species
GACAUCCAGAGAACUUAGCAGAGAUGCUUUGGUGCCUUCGGGAACUCUGAGACAGGUGCUGCAUGGCUGUCGUCAGCUCGUGUUGUGAAAUGUUGGGUUAAGUCCCGNAACGAGCGCAACCCUUAUCCUUUGUUGCCAGCGGUUCGGCCGGGAACUCAAAGGAGACUGCCGGUGAUAAACCGGAGGAAGGUGGGGAUGACGUCAAGUCAUCAUGGCCCUUACGGCCAGGGCUACACACGUGCUACAAUGGCGCAUACAAAGAGAAGCGACCUCGCGAGAGCAAGCGGACCUCAUAAAGUGCGUCGUAGUCCGGAUUGGAGUCUGCAACUCGACUCCAUGAAGUCGGAAUCGCUAGUAAUCGUAGAUCAGAAUGCUACGGUGAAUACGUUCCCGGGCCUUGUACACACCGCCCGUCACACCAUGGGAGUGGGUUGCAAAAGAAGUAGGUAGCUUAACCUUCGGGAGGGCGCUUACCACUUUGUGAUUCAUGACUGGGGUGAAGUCGUAACAAGGUAAGCGUAGCGAG